UCAAAAAAGAAUCCACAGCUAACCACAAAUAAUGUCUUGCUAUGUUGCCCAGGCUGGUCUCAAACUCAGGCUCAAAUGAUCCACCCAUCUUGGCCUCCCAAAGUGUUACGUGUGAACCACUGCACCUGGCCAAAAAUAUUUUACUAAGAAAAAGGAGUCACCUAUUGUAUGAUUCCAUUUAUAUGAAAUAUCCAAAAUAGGCCACAGAUCAGCCCUGGGGUUCAGAGGGAUCCUGACAGCUACUCCUCAAGAUCCUCUCUGUUGUGAUUCAUCCCCCCGGGGCCCUACAGUUUCUCCUUCCUGACUCUUACAUUUCUUUGGAUGGCAUCAUUAUUUACCUGUCUCCUCCCAUAGUUAGGUGCCAAGCACUGUGGAUUCUGCCUCUCAGUGUCCAGACACCCAUUUUCCUUCCCACUGUUCCUUCCCCAUGGAGAAGCCUGUGGCUGGCUGACAGCAGAGAGAGAUGCUCAACUUGGAGAAGGUGUUACCUGGGCCAGGUGGGGAAGGUUUGUUUGCAGAGCAAAGAAGUGAAGGAAGUAUUAACCCUUUGCAUGGCCUCCUGAGAAUCCGACAAGACGUAAAUAGCCAAGAAUAUCUGUGAAACUUCAUCACUGAGUUACAAUAUUUAUCACUGCAAGUGUGUUGUUCAUUGACACUAUAAAGCCAUGUGGAAUUAAGCAGCCUUGAAACACAAAAUGGAGAAAGGCUAAGAGCUGAGAAUUGUUGCCUUCAGGGAAAUACAAUCAAUGUCAAGCAAACAACCACCCCAAAAUGGUUAGCUUUAUCAGCAUUCAGGCCUACAGUGAACG
rnacentral:lncRNA from 1 species